rnacentral:rRNA from 1 species
GAUAAACGCUGGCGGCGUGCCUAAUACAUGCAAGUCGAGCGAACGGACGAGAAGCUUGCUUCUCUGAUGUUAGCGGCGGACGGGUGAGUAACACGUGGAUAACCUACCUAUAAGACUGGGAUAACUUCGGGAAACCGGAGCUAAUACCGGAUAAUAUUUUGAACCGCAUGGUUCAAAAGUGAAAGACGGUCUUGCUGUCACUUAUAGAUGGAUCCGCGCUGCAUUAGCUAGUUGGUAAGGUAACGGCUUACCAAGGCAACGAUGCAUAGCCGACCUGAGAGGGUGAUCGGCCACACUGGAACUGAGACACGGUCCAGACUCCUACGGGAGGCAGCAGUAGGGAAUCUUCCGCAAUGGGCGAAAGCCUGACGGAGCAACGCCGCGUGAGUGAUGAAGGUCUUCGGAUCGUAAAACUCUGUUAUUAGGGAAGAACAUAUGUGUAAGUAACUGUGCACAUCUUGACGGUACCUAAUCAGAAAGCCACGGCUAACUACGUGCCAGCAGCCGCGGUAAUACGUAGGUGGCAAGCGUUAUCCGGAAUUAUUGGGCGUAAAGCGCGCGUAGGCGGUUUUUUAAGUCUGAUGUGAAAGCCCACGGCUCAACCGUGGAGGGUCAUUGGAAACUGGAAAACUUGAGUGCAGAAGAGGAAAGUGGAAUUCCAUGUGUAGCGGUGAAAUGCGCAGAGAUAUGGAGGAACACCAGUGGCGAAGGCGACUUUCUGGUCUGUAACUGACGCUGAUGUGCGAAAGCGUGGGGAUCAAACAGGAUUAGAUACCCUGGUAGUCCACGCCGUAAACGAUGAGUGCUAAGUGUUAGGGGGUUUCCGCCCCUUAGUGCUGCAGCUAACGCAUUAAGCACUCCGCCUGGGGAGUACGACCGCAAGGUUGAAACUCAAAGGAAUUGACGGGGACCCGCACAAGCGGUGGAGCAUGUGGUUUAAUUCGAAGCAACGCGAAGAACCUUACCAAAUCUUGACAUCCUUUGACAACUCUAGAGAUAGAGCCUUCCCCUUCGGGGGACAAAGUGACAGGUGGUGCAUGGUUGUCGUCAGCUCGUGUCGUGAGAUGUUGGGUUAAGUCCCGCAACGAGCGCAACCCUUAAGCUUAGUUGCCAUCAUUAAGUUGGGCACUCUAAGUUGACUGCCGGUGACAAACCGGAGGAAGGUGGGGAUGACGUCAAAUCAUCAUGCCCCUUAUGAUUUGGGCUACACACGUGCUACAAUGGACAAUACAAAGGGCAGCGAAACCGCGAGGUCAAGCAAAUCCCAUAAAGUUGUUCUCAGUUCGGAUUGUAGUCUGCAACUCGACUACAUGAAGCUGGAAUCGCUAGUAAUCGUAGAUCAGCAUGCUACAGUGAAUACGUUCCCGGGUCU